AAACGCUUGAAGUCAGUCAUAUUGACAAGGGAUCAACCUUGCUUUUGCUUGGUGCACUUCCUUGUCAAUAGGUCAGCAUCAAUUUUGACCAGUGGAAAAAGGCAAAGGGAAUGUGGCAUCUUCUGAUGUGUUAUAGCUUUUUGUCAUAUACAUUGGUUGAGAUUGAGGAACUCAGCAUGCCGCAAGGCCGGGUUUUAACCACGUUCAUGCUUAGGAUGUUGGCAUAAUGGCUUUAAUCGA
rnacentral:rRNA from 1 species